rnacentral:lncRNA from 1 species
CCCUCAGCGUCGUCGACCUCGAUGGCGAUGGCGCGGACGCCGAGGCCGUGAGAGGCGGCGAAGGCAUGGCAGGCGGAGUGGUCGAAGGACGGAAUAGAAGCAGUGGCUGCGGCAUUUUCUAGAUCUCCGGCGAUGGAUGGAGAAUAAGGUGCGGUAAAGAGGAAGUUAAGGUCGCCGGAGCGAGUAAGAUAGGAAGCAUGGAUAACGUUUCCAGUGGAGAGGUCGGACUUGGCAACAAUGGGCAUGCCCAGACCCCAGGAGAAGCGGCGGGCCAGAUUGGUGGCGUCGGUGGACCAGAACUCGAUAUGGUGGAACCGCUUGACUCCGAAACGAUCGGACAUGGGGUUGGUGCGCAAGAAGUUGGAGAAGCCCACCAGCUUGAACCCCGGCGCAG